rnacentral:rRNA from 1 species
AAAAGGUGCCUUGAAAAUCUUCAAGUGAAUGUCAUCAUGACACCACCUGUGAAGAAUAGGAACCCCAGAUCAAAUUCUUCAUAUGGAUCCAAGUCCUCAUAUGGACCGAAUUCCUCACGUGGAUCAAAUUCCUCAAAAGCAUCAAAGUCCUCAUAUGAACAUCAUCGUGCUAAUGCUUCUGUUUCGCAGGGAAGAACUAAGGGCUAUGAAUAUGAGCAUUAUUCCUCUAACCAUUAUGUUCAUAAGUCCUCGAAGAAUAUAUCUGCUUAUUCAUAUGCUUACCCUAACUCCUAUUAUGUGAAACGAAGUGGACUGGCUUCUAUGCCACCUUUCUCUUAUGGAGCUCGCAGAAUGAUGAACUCU